UAGGUGAACUGCGGAAGGAUCAUUGUUG
rnacentral:rRNA from 20 species